UACAUGGGGUGCAAACGUUGCUCGGAAUUAUUGGGCGUAAAGCGCGCGUAGGCGGUUACUCAAGUCGGAUGUGAAAGCCCUCGGCUUAACUGAGGAAGUGCACCCGAAACUGAGUAGCUAGAGUACUAAAGAGGGUCGCGGAAUUCCCGGUGUAGAGGUGAAAUUCGUAGAUAUCAGGAGGAACACCGGUGGCGAAGGCGGAUCUCUGGGCCAUUACUGACGCUGAGGAGCGAAAGCGUGGGGAGCGAACAGG
rnacentral:rRNA from 1 species